rnacentral:rRNA from 1 species
AUUGAACGCUGGCGGCAGGCCUAACACAUGCAAGUCGAACGAGUGGCGGACGGGUGAGUAAUGUCUGGGAAACUGCCUGAUGGAGGGGGAUAACUACUGGAAACGGUAGCUAAUACCGCAUACCAUCAGAUGUGCCCAGAUGGGAUUAGCUUGUUGGUGGGGUAACGGCUCACCAAGGCGACGAUCCCUAGCUGGUCUGAGAGGAUGACCAGCGACCCUGGAACUGAGACACGGUCCAGACUCCUACGGGAGGCAGCAGUGGGGAAUAUUGCACAAUUGGCGCAAGCCUGAUGCAGCCCUGCCGCGUGUGGUAAGAAGGCCUUCGGGUUGUAAAGCACUUUCAGCGAGGAGGCGUUACUCGCACAAGAAGCACCGGCUAAAUCCGUGCCAGCAGCCGCGGUAAUUC